AACGAACGCUGGCGGCAUGCCUAACACAUGCAAGUCGAACGAGACCUUCGGGUCUAGUGGCGCACGGGUGCGUAACGCGUGGGAACCUGCCUUUAGGUUCGGAAUAACUCAGAGAAAUUUGAGCUAAUACCGGAUGAUGUCUUCGGACCAAAGAUUUAUCGCCUUUAGAUGGGCCCGCGUUGGAUUAGCUAGUUGGUUGUGUAAAGGCCUACCAAGGCGACUAUCCAUAGCUGGUCUGAGAGGAUGAUCAGCCACACUGGGACUGAGACACGGCCCAGACUCCUACGGGAGGCAGCAGUGGGGAAUAUUGGAAAAUGGGCGAAAGCCUGAUCCAGCAAUGCCGCGUGAGUGAUGAAGGCCUUAGGGUUGUAAAGCUCUUUUACCCGAGAUGAUAAUGACAGUAUCGGGAGAAUAAGCUCCGGCUAACUCCGUG
rnacentral:rRNA from 1 species